AGUGAAAUCAGCUAAAGAAGCUUUUGGGCCCAUGCCCCAAAGAUGUAAGUUAAAAUCCUACUUUCGCUA
rnacentral:tRNA from 1 species